UACGGGGGGAGCAAGCGUUGUUCGGAUUUACUGGGCGUAAAGGGCGCGUAGGCGGCUUGACAAGUCACUUGUGAAAUCUCUGGGCUUAACCCAGAACGGCCAAGUGAAACUGUCGAGCUAGAGUGUAGAAGGGGCAAUCGGAAUUCUUGGUGCAGCGGUGAAAUGCGUAGAUAUCAAGAGGAACACCUGAGGUGAAGACGGGUUGCUGGUCUAACACUGACGCUGAGGCGCGAAAGCCAGGGGAGCGAACGGG
rnacentral:rRNA from 1 species